UACGUAGGUGGCAAGCGUUGUCCGGAAUUAUUGGGCGUAAAGCGCGCGCAGGCGGUCUUUUAAGUCUGAUGUGAAAGCCCCCGGCUCAACCGGGGAGGGUCAUUGGAAACUGGGAGACUUGAGUGCAGAAGAGGAGAGUGGAAUUCCACGUGUAGCGGUGAAACGCGCAGAGAUAUGGAGGAACACCAGUGGCGAAGGCGACUCUCUGGUCUGUACCUGACGCUGAGGUGCGAAAGCAUGGGGAGCAAACAGG
rnacentral:misc_RNA from 1 species